UGCUCGAGUGGCGAACGGGUGAGUAACACGUGAGUAACCUGCCCUUGACUUUGGGAUAACUUCAGGAAACUGGGGCUAAUACCGGAUAGGAGCUCCUGCUGCAUGGUGGGGGUUGGAAAGUUUCGGCGGUUGGGGAUGGACUCGCGGCUUAUCAGCUUGUUGGUGGGGUAGUGGCUUACCAAGGCUUUGACGGGUAGCCGGCCUGAGAGGGUGACCGGCCACAUUGGGGCUGAGAAACGGUCCAG
rnacentral:rRNA from 1 species